rnacentral:rRNA from 1 species
AUUGAACGCUGGCGGCAUGCCUUACACAUGCAAGUCGAACGGCAGCACGGGAGCAAUCCUGGUGGCGAGUGGCGAACGGGUGAGUAAUGUAUCGGAACGUGCCCAGUCGUGGGGGAUAACGCAGCGAAAGCUGUGCUAAUACCGCAUACGAUCUAUGGAUGAAAGCGGGGGAUCGCAAGACCUCGCGCGAUUGGAGUGGCCGAUAUCAGAUUAGCUAGUUGGUGGGGUAAAAGCUUACCAAGGCGACGAUCUGUAGCUGGUCUGAGAGGACGACCAGCCACACUGGAACUGAGACACGGUCCAGACUCCUACGGGUGGCAGCAGUGGGGAAUUUUGGACAAUGGGCACAAGCCUGAUCCAGCAAUGCCGCGUGCAGGAUGAAGGCCUUCGGGUUGUAAACUGCUUUUGUACGGAGCGAAAAGGCUCUCUCUAAUACAGGGGGCUCAUGACGGUACCGUAAGAAUAAGCACCGGCUAACUACGUGCCAGCAGCCGCGGUAA